rnacentral:tRNA from 2 species
CCCUCUGUAGCUCAACAGCAGAGCACCCGCCCGAUAAGCGGGAGACCGUGGCGCGACACCACGCCGAGGGACCA